ensembl:lncRNA
UUUUAUUGCUAUCCCUUUAAAGAAGUCCAAAUGUCAUUGAAUGCCUGAAUUGAAAGUCUUCACAGAGAUCACUUUAAAUUGUUCUUUUAUCUUUCACAUGGAAGAUAAACAAGAAUUAUUUCACACCUCAAAAUAAAUACAAUGUAAUACUGAUGCAGAUGAAUCUCUCCAUUUAUUAUUAACAUCUCAGUGGGUUAGAAUAGAUUUGCCAGUCCCAACUUUUGCUUCGAUUACUAAGCGCUGUUGAGAGUUUGGUUAACCAAGUGGCAAAUGACCGCUGACUAAAUACAGAUAGUAUGUGGCUUUAUGUUGGGCACAUGCUAGAAGAUCUUCUAGAUGAGACUCACUUCCCACUGUAGAUAUGACACUGGCCUAUCUUCUAGCUCUUUACGCAGUGUCUUGGUGGUGGCUGUUUUUCUUUUUGGUCAUCUUCGUCAGAAAAUCGAGAGAUGUCCUCUUCCAGCCGUUGUUCAUCAACAGUAAAAGCCACAGUUUCUAGAGCUGUCAUGUGUAAAAUGCUGACUGUGCCGGAUCUUGGUCUUUACUCACUCCCCUUACAAGAAAACCCAGCAUAAUAGGCAUAGUAGCAAUGUGUCUUUGGUGUCUCAGCAAAGAGGAAGUCAAGGUUUGUUCAGUGUUGGCUUUGUCACACCUGAAACUUAUCAUCAGAAUCCGCCUUACAUAAAUAGCCACAAUAUAGUCUUCUCCCCAGUCUCCUCCUCAAACCCUCUUUCCUGGAUGAGUGAGUCUUAGUAACUCUAACAUGAAAAGCAUGGGGGCCAUAAGGCAUAUGUUUUCUUAUCCAGUUGGCAGUGGCUUAGACAUGAUUGUUGCUUAGUGAAAAUCAUGAAGUAUUUGGAGGGAGAAAGAUCUAGGUUCAAAUCCCAACCAUCUAGCUUGCAGAGUCAGUGUGAGGAUUAAAUACCACAAAGUACAGUUGCAAAUAAAUGACUGUUGAUGUUACUAUUUUGUUAGUAAAAAUCUUCUUAAACACUCAGGAAGAUGAUAUAAUAUAUGUCUGAACUAGCUAAGUACAUGUGGUAUUAUUAGUAUGCAUCUGCUUUUAAACAAGCUAUUUUAGUGUCAUUCUGACAAAAGCUAUGAUCCCCAGUAGUUUUUUUAGUUAGUCAAAACAUUUUCUUUUUUCAUACUAUUUUUUUCUUUCUUCUUUUUAAGUGUCUCUUUGCCUACUUCUGACUUGUACAGAAACUCCUUUUAGAGGAAAGAGGAGGGUAGGGUGGAGAAUAUGAGGAGCUAAUGCCAGAAUAGUUUCUGUCUCACAACAUUUUGAAGUUCCUUUUUGUCUAAACCAACUGAUUACUUAAUAAAAUUGUUUCUGAAAACCAAAUUCAUAGCCACCCUCUCCUAGUCUGAUAAUUUAGAAAGUUUUCUCCUUCUAAAUUUAACAACCACUGUACGUUCAUCAAUAAAGGGCAAAUAGGUUUGAAUGCACAACGUCAUCUUAUUGGGUUUAUUUAAUGCAAAUAUAAAUCCACUUGAAAGUAAAUCAUAUCUAAGCCUAUAACCAAUAUCAAUCUGGUCUUGUGAAGGAUCACCAACAUGAGACACAUUUCUGAUAUGUUGUGUUUAUUUGACAUUCUGAAGAUACAACUCAGUGUUGAAAUAGAAAAACAUUUCAUCACCUUAAGUUGGUGGUUUCUUUUCCCUACUCUGUGAUGCUUCAUUUUUAAGGCUCAUUUUAUAAGUUCUAUUUGGACACUACAUUAACCUUCAGGCCACAGAGUAUUGGCAAAUAGUUGAUUUGGUUUUUCCCAUUGGCAUAACUGACUUCACAGCAGCACUCCCGCCCUCUCUCUUGUUUAAAUUGGCUGCAGUGUUUCUUGCUUAAGGGAUUUACCAGAAUGUGGCCAUACCUGGGAUUGAGCUAAAAUCAGGAUAAAGAACUGGGAAUGGGAAGGCUAUAAACUGACCACUGGGUGGGUAACAUCAUUCUUUCAACUAUUCAGAAAAACACACGCACGCCACAAACCCUCACUUUCAGAGGUGGAAAAUGAGCUGAACAUAUGGUAAAGUUAAAAAUUAAUAUUAAUAAAUGGAAAAGUUAUUUCCCCAACAGACACUUCAAGCUUGUCCUCUACUGGAAUGAUUUAUUUGACUCUCUAAUCUACAUGAAAUGUGCUACAGGCUGAAAAUUGUAAAAAACGCUCAAAGCAAGACAGCAAUGGCUAUUUUAUUGAAGAAGUAUAUGGAUUCAAAUCCUUGUUUGAGAGAUAUUUACACAGUUUGCUAGAGAAAACUUUGUGUCCUUCUAUUCGGAGUCUCAGCUUAAAUAAUAUAUAAGAAAAAUACUUAGCAACUUGAGGUCUCAUUAUCAUUUAUUUAUACCUUUAUUUGCACAUUUAUUACAUUGAAAUGAACUUGAGGUGGAAAGGAAAAUGAAUCUGACCUAUGGAAAAACUAGGUAAACCAAGGCAAUUCUGCAUGUAUCUAAAGGAGUUUUAUAAGAGACUGUGUCCAACGUAGCACUUGUAAACUUAACAACAAAUACUAUAGCUAGGCCAAUUUAGACUUUCUCUAUUUAGAUGAGAUCUCAUAAUGGUAUGAAUCUGAAAGCAAUAAUGAAACCAUUGAUUUAGUGGUUGUGAAGAUGGGUAAUUUCAGCCUUCACUGGAUCCAUCAAACAUGUCCCUUUCUCCCCUCUUUUUUCUAUCUAUCUCUUUUUACAUCAUAAUGAACAAGGAUUUCAAACAAGGUAGGUAAUUGUUUUUUCAUAAUACUUUUUUCCUUGUUGUCCCAAGGGUUUUCUGUUUCAUAGUCUAUUGGCUAGUAACUGAAACUGAUUGCUUGGUUGAUAUGGCAAUAAAAGUGCAAAAACAAGCAGGCUCUGAUCAUUAUUCAUUAAAGGCAGUUGGAUAAANNNNNNNNNNNNNNNNNNNNNNNNNNNUAAAUUUAAGCUAUCACUAUUUAAUUUAUUCAGCAAAUGUAUUUGUUUGAACCUAAAGAGCUAGGCCAGCAGUAUACAAAGUGUGGUCCAGGGAUCCCUAAAAGUUCCCAAGAUCUCUUUAAGAGAUCUUCAAGGUCAAGACUAUCUUCAUAAUAUUACCAAAAAUGAUGUUCAUGUUUCACUCUUAUUCUCCCACAACUAUGCAGUGGAAUUUCCCAGAGGCUACAUAAUAUCUAAUGGCAUCAUCUUUCUGAUGGCUAAUGAUAUGUGUGCUUGUGGAUUCUUAUGUUUAACAUUUUCUGUUUUGAGUACAGUGAAUAAUUACUGAUAAAUAUAACCCAUAUACACAAAAUUUCUCCGUGGGUCUUCAANNNNNNNNNNNNNNNNNNNNNNNNNNNNNNNNNNNNNNNNNNNNNNNNNNNNNNNNNNNNNNNNNNNNNNNNNNNNNNNNNNNNNNNNNNNNNNNNNNNACACAAAAUUUCUCCGUGGGUCUUCAAUAAUUUAAAACACAUUAAAGGGUUCUGAAACAAAAUACUUUGAGAACUUUUGUGCUAGGCGACACAUUAGUUAAAAAAAAAAAAGAUGUGGAUGUUUUUCAAUAUAGUAGUUAAGACAGGAAGAAAUCUUCUUAAAUCUGUCAUUUCCAGCCAUCCCUUCAAUCCAUUUCUCAUCAUGUGUAUUUGACUGCUGUGUUUUGAAGAGCUAAAUUCUAUCUGAAUUCAGUGCUUUAGAAUCAGCAGCUCUGUAUAA